CCUACGGGAGGCAGCAGUGGGGAAUAUUGGGCAAUGGAGGAAACUCUGACCCAGCGACGCCGCGUGCGGGAUGAAGGCCUUCGGGUUGUAAACCGCUUUCAGCAGGGAAGAAGCGAAAGUGACGGUACCUGCAGAAGAAGCACCGGCUAACUAUGUGCCAGCAGCCGCGGUAAUACAUAGGGUGCAAGCGUUGUCCGGAAUUAUUGGGCGUAAAGAGCUCGUAGGUGGUUCGUCACGUCGGAUGUGAAAAUCUGGGGCUUAACCCCAGACCUGCAUUCGAUACGGGCGAGCUUGAGUAUGGUAGGGGAGUCUGGAAUUCCUGGUGUAGCGGUGGAAUGCGCAGAUAUCAGGAGGAACACCAAUGGCGAAGGCAGGACUCUGGGCCAUUACUGACACUGAGGAGCGAAAGCGUGGGGAGCGAACAGGAUUAGAUACCCUGGUAGUCCACGCCGUAAACGGUGGGCACUAGUUGUGGGGACCUUCCACGGUCUCUGCGACGCAGCUAACGCAUUAAGUGCCCCGCCUGGGGAUCGAUCGCAGNUUAAACNAAGAUG
rnacentral:rRNA from 1 species